UACGGAGGGUGCGAACGUUGUCCGGAUUUACUGGGCGUAAAGAGUAUGUAGGUGGCUCUAUAAGUGAGAGAUUAAAUACCAACGCUUAACGUUGGACCUGUUUCUCAUACUGUAGAGCUGGAGGAUGGCAGGGGUGCAUGGAACUUUGAGUGUAGGAGUGAUAUCCGUAGAUAUUCAAAGGAACACCAAUGGCGAAGGCAGUGCACUGGGCCAUAUCUGACACUGAGAUACGAAAGUGUGGGGAGCAAACGGG
rnacentral:rRNA from 1 species